rfam:Triticum aestivum genome assembly, contig: Triticum_aestivum_CS42_TGACv1_scaffold_146114_2BS
CAAUUACUCCCUCCAUCCGGAAAUACUUGUCAUCAAAAUGGAUAAAAGGGGAAGUAUCUAGAUGUAUUGUAGUUCUAGAUACAUCUCUUUUUAUCCAUGUGAUGACAAGUAUUUUCGGACGAAGGGAGUAUUCA